rnacentral:rRNA from 1 species
GAUGAACGCUGGCGGCGUGCCUAAUACAUGCAAGUCGAGCGAACAGAUAAGGAGCUUGCUCCUUUGACGUUAGCGGCGGACGGGUGAGUAACACGUGGAUAACCUACCUAUAAGACUGGGAUAACUUCGGGAAACCGGAGCUAAUACCGGAUAACAUAUUGAACCGCAUGGUUCAAUAGUGAAAGGCGGCUUUGCUGUCACUUACAGAUGGAUCCGCGCCGUAUUAGCUAGUUGGUAAGGUAACGGCUUACCAAGGCAACGAUACGUAGCCGACCUGAGAGGGUGAUCGGCCACACUGGAACUGAGACACGGUCCAGACUCCUACGGGAGGCAGCAGUAGGGAAUCUUCCGCAAUGGGCGAAAGCCUGACGGAGCAACGCCGCGUGAGUGAUGAAGGUCUUCGGAUCGUAAAACUCUGUUAUCAGGGAAGAACAAAUGUGUAAGUAACUGUGCACAUCUUGACGGUACCUGAUCAGAAAGCCACGGCUAACUACGUG